CCUACGGGUGGCAGCAGUCGAGAAUCAUUCACAAUGGGGGAAACCCUGAUGGUGCGACGCCGCGUGGGGGAAUGAAGGUCUUCGGAUUGUAAACCCCUGUCAUGUGGGAGCAAAUUAAAAAGAUAGUACCACAAGAGGAAGAGACGGCUAACUCUGUGCCAGCAGCCGCGGUAAUACCGAGGUCUCAAGCGUUGUUCGGAAUCACUGGGCGUAAAGCGUGCGUAGGCUGUUUCGUAAGUCGUGUGUGAAAGGCGCGGGCUCAACCCGCGGACGGCACAUGAUACUGCGAGACUAGAGUAAGGGAGGGGGAACCGGAAUUCUCGGUGUAGCAGUGAAAUGCGUAGAUAUCGAGAGGAACACUCGUGGCGAAGGCGGGUUCCUGGACAUUAACUGACGCUGAGGCACGAAGGCCAGGGGAGCGAAAGGGAUUAGAUACCAUGGUAGUC
rnacentral:rRNA from 1 species